AUGACACCAAACAAGCUCUUACACACCUCAGCUGUGCCAGGGGGAGGAGGACAUGAAAAUCCCCAGCAUGGGGCUGUCCAGGAGAGCAGAGCUGGGGCAGGUGCUGCUUCCCAAGGCUCCAGCAGCCCCACAGGACACAGUGAGCUGGUGAACAGCCAGCCCUGCUCUCUGCUGGGAUCCCAGGUGUCAGCAGGAUGGCUGAGUGCUGGAUGGGCUCUCCAGGGAAGGAGCAGGACCACAUCUCCCUUGCAGGGCCACUGGAGUUUGGGUGUUGUUCAAAGCCUUUCAGGGGUGCUGCUGUCCAAGAGCCUUCCAAGCCAAAGGCAGCUGCCACGUGUCCUUAUUAAAGGCAGAGAAGACAGUGGGGAAGAAGCUUAGGAUCAGAGUGGAGGAGGAUUAGAAAGAGAAAAGAAAAAUUAAAUGGUAGCACCAAAUUCAUACCAAUAAUAAUGUGAGCUGUAACAAGCAGCUCCAAAUGGCUGAUUUCCUUUUGGCCAUUUUUACGUAGGAGUUUAAGUAUAGAUUUGGGAGGCUAAAUAUAGACAGUCUGAGAUACCUAUUAUGUGAAAUCUCAGUUUGAAAUUAUUCAACAUCUUCCUGUUAUCUAUGAAUAAUCAGUGUUUUAUCGCACUGUGAGACUGCCUGAACAAAAAUCCUUUCAGCAGCUACUUCUUGCUGUUAGCUGGAUAACUCAGGAGAGAUUUCCUUUAUGAAAAGCAGCCUUUGGACACUCUUCAGAAGAUGAACAUCUCUGCAGACUCUAACCAGGAAAGACAGCUGAGCAGGAUGAGCUCACACGUGCCCUCUGCACAGCUCCAGCCUGGCUGUUAGCAGCCUUGUUCAGGUUUGGGAGGGAAGGACCAGAUCAGAUUCUUCAUCCUGAGCCUGCCAUCAAGAUCUCAUUUACCCAGGUGACACCAGCAGCUUGUUGUGCAGUGUUCAGCAUCAUAUCAUGCUUGAGAUUAAACCCCAGCUGAUGAAUGAACCCUUCACUUGUGUGAGUAAUUGCUAACCAUUAGAGCCUUAAACUGGCAACAGUCCUGUGGCACAGUCAGGGAAAUGGGAAAAAGUUGUAAUUGCAACCUGUGCUCGUUGGAAAUCAUUGCAGUUUUAUUGUGCCACACACAGAUUGACUGGUGCACCACUGCACACUAACACAGAGUAUCAGUGCCUGUCCACCCCAGCAGGGACCUCUGCAGCUGCAAUCCAUUGAAAAGGUCUUGGAAGGCUAUAAAUACCCCAGCAUUGCUCCCUGUUUUUGAAUCAGAGCAAUGGAAGCUAAAUAUAUGCUGACUCCAGUUGUGACAGAUCCUGAAAGCGAUUCUUAUUCAUUUUGAUUCUUGCCCAGAAUAUCUUCCUUGCAGUCCUACUUCUGAAGCGCUGAAGGAAACAACAGUGACAACUCACCCCUCAGCCCUGAGCUGCAGAGGGGGAGGCUCUGCACAGCUGAUUGCAGAGUGAAACACUCUGUUGGUCACUUCCCUCCCUUCUGUGCCAAAUCUGGCUCCCAUUAAGUAUCAGGGCCAGGACCUUUAUCUGCUGUCCCCUGGCACUGCUGUCCCCUGGCACUGCUGUCCCCUGGCACUGCUGUCCCCUGGCACUGCUGCCAUCAGCUCUGGCUCCAUUGGCAGGAGGAUCCAUGGCUCUGUUAGCCCAGGGGAUGCUGCCAGCACUGCUCCAUCCAUGCCCCCCCCAGCAGGAAUUCCCAGCUCUGAAAGGGGGAAAAUGAGAAUCCCAGGCAGGUGUUGGAGAGCAGGGAGGGCUGUGAGGAAGGUGGGCAGUGCCUGAUGCUGGGGCAGCUGCCCCUUCCUGAGCAGAGGGAUCACUGUGCCCUGAGCAAGCAGGAGCAGGCUCCCCACCAUCCCUCUGGAGGCAGGACACCAAGGAGCAGAGCAUUCCUGAGAACAAGAACACAGCUAGGAUUUUAUUUCUUGUACAUGCUGUGUACAACCUCCCAGGGAAUACAGCUGCAUUCACACUUUAAGGUUAAAAUCCAGGCCAGUGGAGAAACGGAGGUGUUAUUCCUGCUGUGGAAACAGUGAAGAUUACAAGGGGAAAGACACAGGCAGAGACAAGAGGAAAUUUGGUUUGGUCUGUCUGUGGUACUGACAUCCCAAAGACAGUUUCUCUGUUUCCAGGCAUUUUGGAAGCCACAGAAAUUGUAAAUUUACACCUGUGGGUUUUUGGAUCUCCAGCUCAGGAAAUGCAGGCAGGGCUGCAGGAACAGAUGGGAGCUAUCAGCCAGCUCUGAAGUGAUGUGCCUCAGGAGGUGCUUUAUUUGUGGAGUUGUUGAGAUCAAACAGUCUCAGGAGGUCCUUGGUACCUCUAGAAAAGGGGACUUUGGUUCCUGUGGCCCAUUUCUGCCUUCUUUCAAACGUUUGCUUUGGGCUUGGGGAGGACAGGAGGGCAGCAGGGACCUCCAGGCUCCCACUCUCUCAUCUCCCCACGAGAAGCCUGGGCUGCCAGAACACAUCCUGCAGGUAUAAAAUUGAUAUUAUAGGAAGGGACAAGGCUCCCUUCUCCUCCUCACAGAGCAGAACAGGGUUAACCAUGAGCCUUCACAAGUGCACCAGAAAUGUGAAUGUCAGAUGCCCAAAAUAUUGUUAAACACCAGCGAUUUGCGAAUUCAAAUAUUACAAGGCUGCUAUUUUUAGCCCAGUGGAACCUUUAGUCAUUCCACAUUUAGAUGGCUUAUCAGAAUUAAAUAAAUAACAGCAAUGGUUACUGCUCA
rnacentral:lncRNA from 1 species